rnacentral:lncRNA from 1 species
CCAAGCAGGUGCCUUCAGGAAUGGAGAACUAUGAAUAGGGCACGACAAUUUUUUUUCUUUGACUUAGAAUUUUAUUCUUCUCAGAGCCAAAAAGAGAGGAAGAGUCAAAGUCACACAAAGUCGAAUGAGAAUCAAGAGAGUGAUACAAGUAGAUCAAUCACAUUUACCAACAGAAUGGCAUGUGCACAGAAAAUGUUUUCAAGCAAAGAUAAUGUGAGCAGAAAGGAUUUCAACACCCCGGUGUUCUCAAUUCUUUUGAGGAUUCAACAUCACUAAAAGUCCGUGUUGCAGAUCAGCAGAUAACCUCUGUUCCUCUGAAUCUAAUCAACUAGAUCUUCAUUAAUCAAGUAAAGUAGCACAAAGAGAGCAGU